rfam:Brachypodium distachyon strain Bd21 chromosome 2, whole genome shotgun sequence.
CAGAUAUUCCCUCCGUCCAACAAAAGAUGUCUCAACUUUGAUCAAAUUUGAAUGCAUCUAUAUACCAAGUCAUGUCUAAAUACAUCUGAAUUUGAUAAACUUGAGACAUCUUUUGUUGGACGGAGCAAGUACUAC